CAUGAUUGUGCUAUGGCAGUGAUUGGGAGCUAAUGGUCUAGAAGAAGCCAUGCCUGUGCAAUGAAAUAAAUUUCCAGGAGAUGUUGUGAGCUUCUCACGCCAGCGUCCGUUGCAUUCUCUCUCUCUUUGGCAUCACAGAGAGCACGUCCUCUCUCUCUCUCCAUGUCCAACUCAGCGUGCUUGAAUUGCAUCGACCUUUCCGAACCAGACAUUCAUAAAUCCGUCUCUCUUCUGAAACAGGCAUGCGAGGACUCGGGGUUCUUCUACGUGGUGAACCACGGGAUCAGCCAGGAGCUGGUGGACGAGGUCCUCGCCCAGAGCAAGAGGUUCUUCGACCUCCCACUUAAGGAGAAGAUGAAGCUCUUGAGGAAUAAGAAGCACAAGGGUUACACUCCUAUCUUGGAUGAGACUCUCGACCCUGACAAUCAAGUUCAUGGGGAUUGCAAGGAGGGCUACUACAUCGGCGUCGAGGUUCCCGAGGACGACCCCCGUUCCCAGAAGCCAUUCUUUGGCUCAAACCGUUGGCCUUCUUCAGAUGUACUGCCAGGCUGGAGAGACACCAUGCUUAAGUAUCAUGAAGAGGCACUUGAGGUGGUUAAGUCAAUUUCUAAGAUUAUUGCUCUGGCUCUUGAUCUCAAUGCUGAGUUCUUUAUCAAGCCAGAAAUUCUUGGAGAACCCAUUGCAACUUUGCGACUUAUACAUUAUUCAGUGUUUCCAGAUGAAGUAUCUAAUCCAGAAAAGGGAAUAUAUGGAGCUGGAGCACAUUCUGAUUAUGGUUUGAUCACACUUUUGUUAACAGAUGAAGUAUUGGGUCUCCAAAUAUGCAAAGAUAAGGAUGCACAAACUCAGGUUUGGGAAUAUGUGCCUCCAAUGAAGGGGGCGUUUAUUGUAAACCUCGGUGACAUGCUUGAGCGGUGGAGCAAUUGUAUCUUCAGAUCAACAUUGCACCGGGUGAUAGUUAAUGGUCAGGAGCGCUAUUCUGUAGCUUUUUUUGUGGAGCCAAACCAUGAAUGUGUUGUGGAGUGCCUACCGACGUGCAAGUCAGCAGCCAACCCCCCAAACAGGUUCCCUCCUGUCACAUGCAGUGCAUACCUGUCUCAGCGGUACAAGGAGACUUAUGCCGAUCUAAGUGUCCACAGUGAAAAUCGAGUGUAGUUGGUCUUGAUUCGAGGCGCUCUUGUCGUGGACCUUUUUUCCUGCAGUUAUAUACAUGGAUGUACUGAAAUAAGCGCUGCUUGGCAAACGGCUAAGUUUAUUCGUAUACGUUCCCUCCCGUCACAUGCAGUGCAUACCUGUCUCAGCGGUACAAGGAGACUCAUGCCGAUCUAAGUGUCUACAGUGGAAAUGGAGUGUAGUUGGUCUUGAUUCGAGGCGCUCUUGUCGUGGACCUUUUUUCUUGCAGUUGUAUACAUGGAUGUACUGAAAUAAGCUCUGCUUGGCAAACGGCUAAGUUUAUUCGUAUACGUACGUGCAUAGUUUAAUAAAUCUUACUUCCACCAA